rfam:Zea mays cultivar B73 chromosome 2, whole genome shotgun sequence.
GGCCUAUUAGCUCAGUUGGUUAGACCGUCGUGCUAAUAACGCGAACGUCGCAGGUUCGAGACUUGCAUUGGCCA